UACGGGGGGGGCAAGCGUUGUUCGGAAUUACUGGGCGUAAAGGCGCGUAGGCGCCUGCUAAGUCGGAUGUGAAAUCCCUCGGCUCAACCGAGGAACUGCAUCCGAUACUGGCGGGCUUGAAUCCGGGAGAGGGAUGUGGAAUUCCAGGUGUAGCGGUGAAAUACGGUAGAUAUCUGGAGGAACACCGGUGGCGAAGGCGGCAUCCUGGACCGGUAUUGACGCUGACGGCG
rnacentral:rRNA from 1 species